AGGAGGCUUAUGCACUGCAGAGUGAUGUUGAAUACAAGGCUGACUACAACAGCUGGAUGAAAGGUUGUGGCUGGGUGCCUUUUGGAUCCUUAGAAAUGGGAAAGGCAAAGAGAGCUUCAGACACCCUAAAUGAGGUAGCAUACAAAGCCAGAGGAGAAGAACUUCUUCACAAGUACAACCUGCCAGCCGACCUGCCCCAGUUCAUCCAGGCUAAAGUUAAUGCCUACAGUAUCAAUGAGAAUAUGUACAAAAACAGGCUUGAAAGAUUUGAG